CAGCUCUCGGAGGCGCCUUCCCUUUGAUCUAGGAGGGCCCGGCCCCCACCCACUACAUCGGGGACGCAAUUUCCCUUUCUAAGGGGACUGGAUGCUCCCAGAUGCAAGAGUCAGUGACUGGAGUCCGACUGGGGCAGGCCAGGGUCCCUUUGUGCAGAGCCCGGAGCGGCCGUCACAGGCAGUGGGAACCCGAGGGCCAGAGGCCCUGAGAGCUCUGGGUCGACAGUGCCUGACAGGUGCUGGCACAACGCCAUGGCAACAACUGACCAAGCAGUUUCUCUGGAGCAGACAGCCUGGGUCCAAAUCGCAGCCUCCUUGCUAGCUGUGUGAUCUCAGACAGGUGACUUAACUUUUCUGUGUCUCAGUGUCCAUGUUUGUAAAAUGGCAAUGUCACAAUAUCCAUCUUAUGAAGUUGUCAAGACUAAAAGAGUUAAUAUUUAUAAAGUCUUAGAAGAUGAUGGAACAUGAUAGUGUAUGAAAAUAGAAUGUGUACAUGUAUGUGUAACUGGGUCACCAUGCUGUACAGUAGAAAAAAAAAAGUUGUAUUGGGGAAAUAACUAUUAAAAAAAUUGAAAAUAAAUAAAUAAAUAAAAAAUAAAGUCUUAGAAGUGCCUAGCAUGUGGUAACUGUUCAACAAGCAUUCGGUGUUUUUUCUUUUUCUUUUUUGUUCUUUUUUGUUGUUGUUUUUGGGGCUGAGCUUGUGGCAUAUGGAAGUUUCCAGGCUAGGGGUCACAUCAGAGCUAUAGCUGCUGGCCUACACCACAGCCACAGCAAGGCAGAAUCUGAGCCGCAUCUUUGACCUACACCACAGCUCAUGGCAACACCAGAUCCUUAACCCACUGAGCAAGGCCAGGGAUCGAACCCACAACCUCAUGGUUCCUAGUCAGAUUUGUUAACCACUGAGUCACGACGGGAACUCCCUUAGACUCUAGUCAACAGAAAUUGAGAAGAGGCCAGACAAGAAAUCCAGGUGAGACUUUGUCGGGAUUCAAGGCUUUAUUGAGACUUGAGUUACAGCACGAUGGAGUGAAAACGAUCAACAGAUUCCCUUGCUCGCUCCCUGGGUUGAGGAGGCGGC
rnacentral:lncRNA from 1 species